GCCAAAAACCGAUAUACACAAACCAGGUGCACAGUUUUAAAACAAAGUUACCCUCCUUCUUCACUACCGGAAGAAGAUCGGCCUUCAAAUAGCAGUGAAAACCCUAAGUAUGAAACCCUGGUUCAAACGUUGAUUCAGUCACCGGAAAUACAAGAAACGAUGUCGGAAAGUUACCCAAACAUCCACAAGAUGAGAAUCGGACCACCGGAAGACGGUAAACCAGCAAGUCAAAACCACCGAAAACCCUAGAUACCGAUAACUCACCAGAAAUCACCCAAAACCGAUCAAAACGUUGUUAAAACGUUAAGGUUAAGAAGAUCCACCCGGAUAUCAUGGUGUAAAACACUUUGAACCAUGUACGACCAAAAACUGAAUCAUCACUGACCGUUCGAUCUCAGAAAAAUCAUCAAAAAUCGUCAAACAAAUGUUCAAAAGUGAUACCGAUGUGCGAAUAAACAUGAUCGGAUCG
rnacentral:lncRNA from 1 species